rnacentral:rRNA from 1 species
UACGUAGGUGGCAAGCGUUGUCCGGAUUUACUGGGCGUAAAGAGCGCGCAGGCGGUCGUUCAAGUCGCGUGUGAAAGCCCCCGGCUCAACUGGGGAGGGUCACGCGAUACUGAUCGACUCGAAGGCAGGAGAGGGAAGUGGAAUUCCCGGUGUAGUGGUGAAAUGCGUAGAUAUCGGGAGGAACACCAGUGGCGAAGGCGGCCUUCUGGGAGAUCCUGACGCUCAGACACGAAAGCUAGGGGAGCGAACGGG